CGCAUCUGUGCAUGCAGCAUAUCAAUAAGCGGAGGAAAAGAAACUAACAAGGAUUCCCCUAGUAACGGCGAGUGAAGCAGGAAGAGCUCAAAUUUGAAAUCUUAAAGGGUUUCCCUUUACGAAUUGUAGUUUAAAGAAGUGUUUUCUGUUGAGGUUUUGGUAAAAGUUCUUUGGAAUAGGACAUCAUAGAGGGUGAGAAUCCCGUAUUUGACCUUUACUUUACAACUUUGCUGAUACACUUUCAAAGAGUCGGAUUGUUUGGGAAUGCAGUCCAAAAUGGGUGGUAAAUUUCAUCUAAAGCUAAAUAUUGGCAAGAGAGCCGAUAGCGAACAAGUACCGUGAGGGAAAGAUGAAAAGAACUUUGAAAAGAGAGUUAAACAGUACGUGAAAUUGUCAAAAGGGAAGCGUUUGACACCAGUGUUGUUUUUCUGAAAAUCAAUUAAAGAACUGUUUAUGCUAAGUUGUUUAGACUUUAUCAGCUAACUGUUUAGUUUUGAGCUUUUCUUUAAUGCACUUUUCAGUUAACAAGUCAACAUCAAUUUCUUUUGCUGUAAAAAAGCUUGAGGAAGGUGGCUUGAGAUUCGUCUUAAGUGUUUAUAGCCUCUUGCCUAUGCAGUCGGAGAGAUUGAGGUCUGCAGCGUAGAUCCUUCGGGGCUAAAUGCAUUUGUGCUAAGUUAUAGCAUUUUAUAGACAACUUGUUGACUAUGAUUUGUCUUGUAGCUUACUCGCUUAUGUUAUUUUACCUACGCUUAGGAUGUUGAACGCGCACAGAGUCUC
rnacentral:rRNA from 1 species